ACCGAUAUCUGCCACCAUGAACGGAGACUCACAGUGGAGAAUCCACCACACCCACAAAAAUCUGACUUCUCUCCUCUCCUCUCAUCGUCUCUUUCCAUUCUUUUUGUUAGAUUGCGUUUUCUAUGUUUCCCACUUUAAUAUCAAUCCUUCCUGUCCUUUCUGUUAUUAGAAACCCCAACCAAGAUCUGCUCUUUCGUCACGGCCAAAUCAGGAUAUGAAGCAGCAGCACCAGUACUGAUCCAGAAUGGACUGAGGAAACCAUGGCGGACAUAAAAGGCGGUUUGGAUUCGGCUGAACCAUGUAUCGAAAGCAUUAUAAACAAAGACUCAGGUGCAGGUGCAAAUGCAGCUUCAAUGGCAGAGAUAGUACUUAUCACCAAUUCUCCACUCUCUGAGUUAAUUUGGACUCCGCAAGAAGGUUUAAGUCUUAAGUACACUGACUCCAGUAAAGCUGAAAAGAAAGCCUCCUUUUUGUGGAAAGCAGAAUCAUUCAACAUGAGAAUUUCUACUUCACUGUGUACAAAUCGUGGGGAGAGUAGCUCUAGCAGAGAUCAGAUUGCAGGAGAAUUGAGCACAGUACAGUCAAAUCAUAAUGCUGAUGGAAUUGCUUUCUUGGGCUCGCAUAAGGGAUCAGUUGAUCCGCAACCUAUCUCUCUGUCAAGUUUACAUGAGCAAGAUUCUCGAUCUUGUGGAGACAAGAAGCCAGAGAAAGGUAUGAAUGAUGCAGAUAUAAAUAUUAGUCAGUCGGUUAAAAAUGGUGAGGAUCCAUGCUCCCCUCGGAGCAAUGAGUGUUUGCAUGUCAUUUGUCCUGCCACAGAUGCAGAUAAUCUGCAGAAUGAAAAUUUCUCUCCAGGUCCCAGGCCUGAUCUAGCAGAAACUGAAGCUGGCUUUGGAAUUACUGCUGGAACCUCGAAUGUGCUUCUUGAUAUACCAAAAUUUCAAAAAUCUGGCUUGGUAGGAGUAUCAGAUUCUCAUGACUCAGUGUCAACAAGAAGUGGAAAGUCAAUAUCAAGUAACAGAUCAUCAGAAUCGUCAGAAUGCAAACAUCCUGAUUUAGUUUUCCGUGACACCCAAGAAGAUGAUAUCAGGAAAACUGACAAUCUAGUUUGCUUCCAGCUUCAUGGUAGUCAACAUUCCUAUGGUAGACAAUCUAAAAGUGUAGGGUGUCAGAGCAAGGAUGGUUUGGUUGUAGCAUCACUUUUUCAAGAGGCAAGUAAAGAUGAAAAACAAAAUAUUAAAAUGAAAAAUGAGACUAAUAAAUUUAGGUCUAAGUCAGAUGUUAAUCCUGGAAAAUUGGAGAAAGGUAAGGAAAAAAUCCUCUUUGAUGAUGAAGAUUAUGAUAGCAGUAUGAAAGAGAAAGAGGAUAGCAAUGAGAGUGUUGAAAGCAGUAACGGUCAGAGAUUAAUUUCAAAAGGGAAACGAGCAUUCAGUUUUGAUUCUAAGACCACCGAAGGAUGUAAAAGAAUUAAGAGAGACGGCAAUGAACACUCUUGCCCAGGAUCUCUCAUCAGAAAUGAUAGCUCCUUUAUUAAUUGGAUAUCAACCAUAACGAGCAGUUUCUCAAGAUACGAUCAGACCAGGACUUCCUUGGCACUUCUUCCACAAUCCUAUCAUAGCAUGAAAGAAAGCUUUGGUUCGCUUAGAAUAUCACAUGAGAAGAUUGGGGGAGUUAUGUGCAAAACUCCGGGUUUUAAUACUUUCUUCCAGGCGCUGUACUGUCCAAAUAUGAUAGCCCCAGAUACCACAAGUGAUGAUCAUCAAAGAGAAGGCGGUACUUCCAAAGAUGUAAAAGCCAUGGGGGAACAUUAUAAACAUUAUGCCAAUCAUGCUUUUGGUAACUUUUUGCAGUUCAACUUAAUGGAUCCUGCAAGAGGCAAGCAAACAUAUAAUGACUUAAAAGAACAUUUAACUAACAAACCAUUGUCUGCCAGUGGUCUUUGUGUUGUCUGUGGUGGAGGUAGUGGCAAAUCACACAGUCAAGUUUCUUCUUUGAAUGAGAGGCACAAUCAGGCCAGUUAUCAUGUUGAAAAUGCACCCCCAAUAAUGAUCAAUGUAUCUUCCUCCAACUCUCAAAUCCAUGAAGAGUUUGAGAAAAACAGGGGGCAGACAUGUGCUUUCAAUAGCAUGAACACUUCAAGUUCCUCAGCUAGGAAAGGUUUAAUAUGUGCUCAGGAGAAAGGAAAUGGAAAGCUUAGUUCUCAUCCAAAGAGCCCAGUAAGUAUGAUGUGCAGGGAGAAAAGCAAUUACCUUGAGAACUUAUGGAUUACUCGGUUUCUGCGGAAAGAGUCUUCACCACUUUUAAGAUCAGAAAAAUGCAAUUUGAGCAUAAAUGAUCAUGGUGCUUUCGACAAGGAGGAAAAGUUUCCUGAUAAGUGCGUCUCCUCUUACUUAAAAAAUCAAAGGGAGUCUGCUAGAGAAGUAAGCAAGCAUGCUGUCAAUCCUACUUUUUCCUGUGGUUUAAAGAGGCUAGACAAUCAAAUGCUAAACCCUAGAGUAAGCUCGAUUAUACCAUCUAAAAAUUUUAAGAACACAGAUAUGGCGGCUUCUUGCUCUGCAAAAAGAUUUGACAUGAAUCCAUCAAAAGUUUCACAUAACCGUAACUUGUCUUGUACUCCCAUAACCUGUUUAUUUUGUGGAAAAAAUGGUCACAGCUUAAGAGAAUGUUCAGAGCUAGCAGAUUUUGACCUCCAGGAUGUAAAGGACAUUUUGGAUUCGUAUGAUGGCAAACAUAUGUCUUCCCGGUUGUGCAUUCGGUGCUUUCAGGUUAAUCACUGGGCAAUUUCAUGCCCCCAUGCUUCCUUGGAAACAAAAAAUACCAGCAAUAGUUCUUUCAGUGUUGCACAUGAAAGUUGUAUUGUGAGAGAAGGAAAGCAUGAUAGCCGAGUAAAUUUGUGGUCUGGAGACAAAAAUAAGCAACAUGCUAACAAAAGUAAAUUACCAGAAAGAGAAGAUUCAAGAAUGGAUGCUCAAACUGUUAAUUAUAGAAGCAUUUGUGCAGACAGAGUUUUGUUCCCUACUGCAAAAGUUUUUAAGGGCUAUCGGGCAGAGGAUAUGGUGAACAUGGAUCAACAGGCUUCAUGUUCCUCAGAGAACAAGUCAAGGAAAAAUCAAAUUACACCAUUCUAUAAGAGCAUUGCUACAGAUGUCUCUAAUGAACAAAAUGGAAUUUUCAAAGCAAUAAGGAGGCUUCGAUUAUCUCGCACUGAUGUAAUAAGAUGGAUGAAAUCAGCAAAUCUCAGUUAUAGCCUGGAGGGUUUCUUCAUACGCCUAAGACUUGGGAAGUGGGAGAAAGGACUAGGGGGAACUGGGUACCAGGUGGCUCGCAUAAUUAGUGCUGGUCGUAAAAACUGCCUUUCUGUGAGCAUAGGACAUCUAGAAUGUUCGGUGGAAUGUUGUUUUGUGUCGAACCAUGAUUAUGUUGAGGAAGAAUUGAAGGCCUGGUUAUCUGCUACUUUAGAAGCUGAUGGCAAAAUGCCAUCAAUAGAGCAACUCAGUGAGAAACUUAAAGAAAGAGAGGAGCUUGGAUUCUAAGAAGAUGCUUCAAGGUUUCAAUCACGGUGCCAAUAGCAGCCUGAUGGUGCGAAGCUUAGCUACAUCAUAAAAACAUUUCCUAUGAGAUGCUUCAAGGAAAUCUGAAAGGAAGACAUCCAAGUAAAGCAAUAUAAAUGGAGACAUCCAUAUUAGUAGCUGCACUGGACCCAGCACAUUGCGUCCUUGAAGCGACUCCUUGCAGGCUCCAUGGAAGUUCCAUGACUGCCAAGGCAUCUCAUUCUUACAAACACUUGUGAGCAUUAACAACCACAGUACUCUGCUUAUAUGACACCAAACAUUGGUAGAACAUGUUGUCUUCACAAGUUAAUCUGUCUUUACGGUGAGAAAAAGUGCUCCAGUCAUCAAAAGGCUUGCAGAUGUGUAGCAUGCCCACCUUCUCUUUCAUCCCAAAAGGUGAAUCGAAGAUAAUGAUUGAUCACCCAUCAAAAACUGCUGACUGUUGAUAUGUACAAGAAGCAGCAGUAGGCUGCACUGGCUGUGAGGAGGAGAUUAGUAUCUAUGUUUGGGCAGAUUGGGUGUGAAGCUUGGUGUGGUUGUGCUCGCCUUCGUAGGUGACAAUAAGCAUGGAGGGGUCUUCCAAGCACCUCUCCACAUGCUUCUUUGCAGGGCAGCCUCUAAUGCUGCUGCACUUGUAAUACCCCCUGCAUUUGGGAUUUAUCACCUCUUUCUUAGUUGGUUUAAUGAUUGAUGCAAAAAAUAAAGGAAUUGAGUAUUAAUCAUGAAUUUAGAAGGUACAAUAUUCAUGAGAUGUUGAAUUCUGAACUCAGUUAUUAGUUGUAUUAGAUCUUUAAUGACAAGUUUGGAUGAAUGGUAGGAGUUGAAUCACAAUUAGAUAGAAAUGAGAUAUACCAGCUAACAUAAAUCAGUAGUACUCUCUACCAUCUAAACUAGAGUGCUUUAACUGAAACCAAGACUUGCAUCUAAACAAGCAUAUAAAUGGCAAAUAUGAAACUCAAGUUAAAAGGCAUUUAUACAACAAAAAUUAAAAUGACUCUAACAACAUUAUUGAUGUCAAGAUAAAAAUGCUAUUCAAUUCAUGAGAUAAAAUUUUUUUUCUACGGUAGCGAGGAGCACAGAAACUUGAGUUACUAACAUCCUAAGCACAAGAGAAAUGGUAAUAUGCACCUAGGAUGAGGAGAACCCUUGAUGGGCUUUUGACCAUACUUCCUCCAUGAGUAAUCAUCAGGAGGGAUAUCUGCAAGCUUUUCACUGACAGCAGGCACCUUUAUGGAUCUCUUGAUCCUCAGCUUCCUGUAAAAGAAGCAAUGUAUAGGAAUUGACAGCAAAGUUUGCAGCAAUACACAAACAAAACUUGCAUAGCCUAACCUUUUUCUUGAGCAGUGGCACCUGCCAUUGUUUGGACAUUUCCCAUUGUUGUCCUCCCCUUUAACUAUACUGGUCUUCUUGGGAGGAGGAUGUGGGUUAACCGGGUUGGAUGAUGCAUGCCCCUCGAUCAGAUGGAACACUUUUCCUUCCAAGCUGGUGAUUUUUCCAUUCAUACUUGUAGAUGCAGAUGGAGUGCAAUCAGAGUUGUCAAACUUGAUACUUAUGCCAUUACUGCUCCUCCUCAACAUGUCAGCCUGAAUGUUCAUUUGCUGCUGAAGCCGAUACGUUUGAUUGUUCUGCUGCUGCUGCGGUAGGAAUCGGCGGUGAGCUGAUGAUGGAUCCUGUCCGGCUUUUUGGUUCUCAAGGAAGCUCCUUUGAGAGAGUUGGAGUAGGUUGUUGGGAUUGCGAUCGUUAUCAUGUAAGGCAUCUCUUGGGAGUAGCUGAGAAUUUGUGAGAGAAGGGACAAUCUUAUGAUCGGAAGGAGACUUGACUUUGUUCAUAGUCCUAAA